UACGGAGGGUGCAAGCGUUAAUCGGAAUUACUGGGCGUAAAGCGCGCGUAGGCGGUUAUGUAAGUUGGAUGUGAAAGCCCCGGGCUUAACCUGGGAAUUGCAUUCAAUACUGCAUAGCUAGAGUCUGGGAGAGGGAAGGGGAAUUCCGGGUGUAGCGGUGAAAUGCGUAGAUAUCCGGAGGAACACCAGUGGCGAAGGCGCCUUCCUGGCCUAAGACUGACGCUGAGGUGCGAAAGCGUGGGGAGCAAACAGG
rnacentral:misc_RNA from 1 species